rnacentral:tRNA from 1 species
GAGGGUAUAGCUCAGUGGGUAGAGCGCAUGCUUAGCAUGCAUGAGGUCAUGGGAUCGAUCCCAGUACCUCUG